UACGUAGGUGGCAAGCGUUGUCCGGAUUUACUGGGCGUAAAGAGCGCGCAGGCGGUCGUUCAAGUCGCGUGUGAAAGCCCCCGGCUCAACUGGGGAGGGUCACGCGAUACUGAUCGACUCGAAGGCAGGAGAGGGUAGUGGAAUUCCCGGUGUAGUGGUGAAAUGCGCAGAUAUCAGGAGGAACACCGGUGGCGAAGGCGGGUCUCUGGGGCCGAUACUGACGCUGAGGAGCGAAAGCGUGGGGAGCGAACAGG
rnacentral:rRNA from 1 species